GCUCCAUCUCUCACGACACAGCGCCCGCCGCCCACUCGGGUGCCAUUCCCGCCUCGGCGCCGGAACGAUCUUGUGGCCACCGCCUUUGAGCGGAGCGGGAGAAGGAGCCCCCAUUUCCCGGGAAGCAGAGCCGUCGGUGAGGAUCCCUGCUUGUCCUUCGGCAGACGUUCCGUCUGCACAGAGGCGACAAAGAAGAUCGACGAUGGACCGCGAUGGGCCGGACGCCAUUCGACAGGAGGCGGAGGUGGAGCGCGGCCGCUACCUGAGCCGCCGGGCCGUGGCCCAGGAGCAGCUGGCGCAAAUACAGGAGCACAGGGAUCAAGCAGAUCUGGCUAAGCUGGAAAAGAGACGAGAAGGGGAAUGCAUACAGCGAUCAAGCCAAUUGUACCAACAGGAAAUUCAGAGAGAUAAAGAAAAGGAUCAGGAGAAAAAAGUUGAAUUACGGAGGCAGCAUCAUGAAUAUGUAGCUGAAAAGAAAAUACUUAAAGCUGAAGAGAAACAAAAAGAAGACAAAGAUGAUGAUCAGAUUGAGGCUUAUAUUAAAGGAAAAGAAAUGAUGGCUGAUCUGACAAGAGAAAAAAAUGCAGAGACUAACAGGAUGAUAGAGAAGCAAAAGGACAAAGCUUUUGAAAAAUUAGAUGCACAGAUGAAUGAGAAAUUUAAGAUUGAAGAUGAUCGUCUUGCUAGAGGAGCUGCAGAGGUAGAAGUUGAGUACCAAAUAAAAAGUAAAGAGAAAGAAAUGAAAAAAACGGCUGCUCUGGAAUCCAUUGAAGAAAACAGAGUCACUGCGAUGAAUUUCAAAGAGGAAAAGAAGAGAGAGGAAAAAGAAGAGGGUAAGAAGGAUCGUAAUCAGUGGAUGGCAGAAAACGACGUCUACUUGGAAAUGGAAAAAGCCAAGAAACAAAGACAGCGUGAUGCAAGCAUGGAAGUACAGAAAUUUCAGCUCCAGCAAAUGGCUGAAAAGCAGGCAAGAAAAGAGCAGGAAAAGCAAGCAGACUUGGCCUGUGAUGCUCAGAGAGAGGCUGCUUUUCAUCGGGAUCGAGCAUUUCGGAGAUAAAGGCAUGCUCAUUUUAUUACAUCAAGCUUCUUUGCAGCAAGCAGAAAGAAUGGAAACUUUUAUAAAAGCCUUUUGAUGGCAGAAGCUGGAGCCUUAAGAAGUACUGACUACAGCAGGAGUGGUGCUGAAACCUGCAGAGCUCGCUAAUGCUCCAAAUGCAUCCUUAAGUGCAAAUUUGCACAUGCUCACUACUAUGCAAUUGAAAACUACAGAAGCAUCUACAAAGGAGUAAGAAGCUAGCCACUCACUCCUUCCAAGUUCUGUGUGCCUGCAAAACCAAUCAGUGCCCAAGAGCAGAAGCUAACUGUGGACCAAGUUACAAGACACGCUAUUUGCUAUAACCUGCCUAUAACUCAAGCUCAAGAAAUAAGUGCCAUAGCUUGCAACUGCACUGUAACUAAUUUUAUUAUGGAACAAAGCAGUAGAUUCUUUUCAGAAAGUCAAGAGGUAACAACCAAAGGUAAACUAUCAGUUCAUCUGUACUGUACUUGAAUAUUGCUGGGCCUCCAGGCUUAACUCAGACCUUCUGUUUUGAAAAAAAGAAAAAUCUUACUGAGCAAAUAGAAUUGGGUACAUCUGUCUGUAAGAAUAAAAUCCAUGU